UCAUCUCUUUAAAAUAAGGAACAAACAUCACCGUCCCUGCUAAACACCUCCGCUUUUCUCUUCUCUCGCAUCUCUCCUUUAGAAACUCUAAUAUUAAACAUCACAACCCACCAAGAGUAACCUUUGUCGUUACCUAACCUUCACUAUCAUCAAACAAGCCACCUUCAUCACCAUCUUCAUCUCACCACCGGUCACCACCGCCAUCUUUCCUCAAUAGCCAAUGACAUCUAGCAUAUGCUCCUGUAUAAUUGGUCGAAACCUCACCACCAUCAAAUCAUUCAGCCUUUGUUCUCACUAAAGAAAAAAGAAGGGACUCUUCAUUUGUUUUUUUAAUUUAACAACGAUACAUAUUUCAUCGCUGCAGACUUGCGGCUAUAGGUCGGACUCCGUCUGGGCUUUAUUUAGGGUUGGAAUGACAUCUCUUUGAUUUGAUUCGGGCAAGGAACAGGCCCUAAGUCUCGGCCCUCUCCCUAUAUUCGUCUAUAUCUAGGCAAAAAGGGAAUUGAAUCAUGGACACUACUCCUCAAUCGAUCUCAGUUGCAGCUGGAAUAUUCAUCAGGAAGCAUUUUCACAUGAUUCUGUUGUUAAUCAUGUUCCUCUUGAUUCCCAUUUUCUUUUUAUAUCUUAUUUGCAUUUGUAUUGAGAUUGUUCUUGAGCUCAUUCGUGGUUAAAUUACAGAUUUUGAGCUCUCCAAGAGAGAUCCACCAUCACGUGUCUGCCCUGUUGAUUUAGGUCCAUGGUUCACCCUGCUGAUUCUUAUGUGUUGAUUCACAUAUGCGAAAAGAAUGUUACAUAUGUGUAGAAGAAUGACUAGCUGUCUCCCACUACACAUCACCAAAAACUUUCAUAAUGAAGAAAAUGCUAAAGGAACAAAGAAACGUGAUUCUAUGGACAGAUAAUGUGAAAUACAAAAUUAUAACUUUUUUUUUUCAGGUUCCAGGUACCUUUGUUUUCCGUCUAUUUAUUCAUUGCCAGCUUAUAUAAUUAAUCAUACAGGGGCAUAUUUCAUCAGGUCUUAAAAUUUUAUUGUUUUUGAUGAUACAUGGGCAUACAUGUUUAUAAAAAUCAUAUUUUUACUUUCAAAAGGUUAAAAUAAGUGAAUUUGGGAAGUUAAGAUGAAGCUCAGCAAGAUAUGGAUAAGAAAUAUCACAAUUUGGAACAUAUAAAGGUAUAAGUAUUUCUUUCUGUUAUCAUGUUGUUCAGAAUUUGGAUUUUAUUCAAACUAUUAUUUAUGUUUGGUUGAACUUUUUAUUAAAGUAUAGCUUAAGUUUUUUUUUUUUUUUUUUUUAUUUUAUUUUAUUUUUUUAUUUUUUUAUUUUUAUAGAUGGUUAGUUUCUAUUUAUCAUUAGUGUUAUCACACAACCCUUCUUAUGUAGGAUUCAUUGGGAUCAAUUGCUCACGCUUAAGGUAACAGUCUUGAUCUAAUUCUCUUUGAAUUCAAUUUAAGUGUAAUUUGAUCAGUUUCUACAAUUUGUUCAAUGUGUUGGCUUCCAAUUUUCAGGUGCAUCUAUUUAGUUCUUUCCAGGUAAAUCUAUGGGUUGGUUUAGCUCCAGGGUAUAUGUAUGGUGUUUGUUCCAAGGUAUGUGUUGUUUUAUUUGAACCUGUAAAAACAACACAGUCUUGCAAUGGGAAGCCUUGGUGAAAGGACCUGUGAAAUUUGACUGAUUUUGGGACUUAGUGUCUAGGGUGGUUGAUGACGAGCUAGAAAUGGUUGUGAUCGAAAAUACUGAAGAAGCUAGAGUGCUCCCUAUGGAUACCCUAGACCAUAAAAUGUAGCCAUCAUCUUUCACUCUCACCCUCCCCAUCUUACUACACCACUCACCAUGGCUUUCACCACCACCACCACAACAUAAAACAUCCUGGUGCUUCCCAUAUAAAUUGUGUUGAGACUCUUUGUUUAAGGGCAACAAGUAUCAUUGUAUGUUGAAAAGAUCAAGGAAAGUAUUUUGUUUAGUCUGGUUUGCAUAUUGGAGUUCAAGUUGUAAUUUCAUAGUAUAUUGUUAUAUUUACUGUUUUGUAUUUGAUUUUACCACUAAUUUUAGAACAAG